AGAAGAGGCAAAGUACUAAAAUUGGAAUAAAAAAUAAUGUAUAUAUAUGUGGCAUGGAUGUAUUCCCUUAUGUUUCUAUUAGUUUGUU
rnacentral:ribozyme from 14 species